UGCGGCGGCUUUUUNCGUCAGGCUCAUAACCUGAAGGUCACAGGUUCAAAUCCUGUCCCCGCAACCA
rnacentral:tRNA from 1 species